rnacentral:tRNA from 1 species
GGAGAAUAGCUCAGUGGUGGAGCACAUGUUUAGCAAGCACAAGGUCUUGGGUUCAAUCCCCACUACCUCCA